rnacentral:rRNA from 1 species
UACGUAGGGGGCAAGCGUUGUCCGGAUUUACUGGGCGUAAAGAGCGUGUAGGCGGCCACGCAGGUCCGUUGUGAAAACUGGAGGCUCAACCUUCAGACGUCGACGGAAACCGUGUGGCUAGAGUCCGGAAGAGGAGAGUGGAAUUCCUGGUGUAGCGGUGAAAUGCGCAGAUAUCAGGAGGAACACCGGUGGCGAAGGCGGGUCUCUGGGCCGAUACUGACGCUGAGGAGCGAAAGCGUGGGGAGCGAACAGG